rnacentral:rRNA from 1 species
GAUGAACGCUGGCGGUAUGCUUAACGCAUGCAAGUCGAACGGACUCUUCGGAGUUAGUGGCGGACGGGUGAGUAACGCGUGAGAAUCUGGCUUUGGGUUCGGGACAACCACUGGAAACGGUGGCUAAUACCGGAUGUGCCGAGAGGUAAAAGAGAAAUUGCCUGAAGAUGAGCUCGCGUCUGAUUAGCUAGUUGGUGAGGUAAAGGCUCACCAAGGCAGCGAUCAGUAGCUGGUCUGAGAGGAUGACCAGCCACACUGGGACUGAGACACGGCCCAGACUCCUAAGGGAGGCAGAAGGGGGGAAUUUUCCGCAAGGGGCGAAAGCCUGACGGAGAAAUACCGCGUGAGGGAAGAAGGCUCUUGGGUUGUAAACCUCUUUUCUUAGGGAAGAACAAAAUGACGGUACCUAAGGAAUCAGCAUCGGCUAACUCCGUG